CGUGAUCGCUUCGGUAAAACAAACGAUGGGCUGACAUUUUUCUCAUUUCCAACGCGGAAGCAAAGCGAAGGACGCCGGAUCUGUGAGCCAACGAGGAGACGCCGAACGGCCCGGAGAGCAGCCGUGAGACGACCAGACGUCACUUUCAACGCAGUCACGUGACACAUGUUGUUUAUUACAAACAUGCUUGCGCAGCGCAGUGACGCUGUUGAAGUUCCGGUAAAAGACGGUGUGCAAGCAGAUGAACAACGCUGCAAAUGAGGGUUUGGAGGGAGGAAAUCGGUGGCAUAAAAACCCACACAGCAGCAGUGUGUCAGCGCAGGUAUCGAGUUCACACUGAGUGCAUAUUUACAAAAAUCUAUAAACUUUAUCAGUUUGAACAUCAAAUGUCUCUUUAUCUUUGAUAACUCGGCAGCAGUCAACAGUUGAUGCUCCGGACUUGUCGGGGUGACAGAUUAUCUACUACAGUUCAGUAAGUUUAGUCACACAGCUGCACGCGCUUCUCGCCACGACCUUCCUAUUAAUACUCUGCUCUGUUUCUCACAUGCAAACAAGGUGACAAAGCUGCAACCGAUCUGCUUCAGUGGCUCCACUCGCUGCCUCCAUGUGCUGAAUGUGAGAUAAAUGACAUGUGAUGCAACAGUUGUGCCCCUCCAGGGCAUGAAGACGAGGAGGAGGAGGGGGCAAUGCCCGCCGCCAGCUGGGUGCCACAGAGCGGUUUGAAAACCAGGAAGUAAAACCUGCUGGCAAAUUGGCUGCUUGUCAGGCUGCCUGAAACACAAGCAGCCUCCGUGUUUCUGCAGUCGGUCUUUCAGCUGGUUGUUCUGACAGACUCUCCAGUGUUUCUUCACCUGCAGCAGUCCAACUUCUGUCACCGAUCAGCCAAAAUAUUCCCUUUACCUGUGCUUCAUGUGGACAACACUGUGAAUUCAUUCACGCUGCUUCAUCACCACAACCAGGCUGAACUGAGCAGUUUGACAACGAGGGUGAAACGCUGCCAAAAGCAAUGAGCCACCACAAACUGAAAGCCACUCAUUUAGAGUUUAAACUCCGUCAGUCACUGCUUCCACGUCAUUAGGUUCAUCCCCGUUACUCACACAGCAACAUUUGUAUAGGAGAUAGCUGACGCCGCCAGUUUGCUUCAUGUGUUCGUGUCAUUUUUGUAGGUGGACUCAUGAAUCCAACACAAAACAUUCCUCAGGUGGGACUGGAACUGGAACCAGUGUGAAGCUAAAAAGAUUAUUUACCGAUUUAGCAGCAGGAAACUGCAGCGGCUGCAGUCAUCAUUCACUGGUCAUGUAAAUCAGUUUUUAUUCACUGAUUCAAACAAGGGCUGCAGCUUCCCGUUUUCAUUACUGAUUCACCUGGUUUAGUUUCUAAAAUUGUAGAAAAUACUGUCCGAUGAUGAGCACACUAACCACGGUGACGUCUUCAAGUGUUCUGUUUGACUAAAACCCAAACAUACUCAGUUUGGAGGACAAGUCGUUAGCAUCUUUGGCGGUUAGUGCUAGUAGAGCGACUGUCAGUCUGUCAGUCCGUUAAUCUGUUCCACACGUUGAUGUUCCCCUCAGGCUGAACUGUGAAAACUCUGAUGAUCCUCUGACCGCUCACCUCGCGCCACCAUCAGGCCAACAUCUUAAUGUGUCCAAAACAGCUAACAUCCCAUAAGCCUCAGCUGGACUUUGUGUUCAGUGAAGCUAACACGCUAAACUAAGAUUGUGAUCAUGAUUACAAUAACACCUUGUGUCAUUAUGAGCAUUUUAGCAAGCUAGCAUUAGCACCUAGCUGAGGGCAACUGCUAGCAUGGCUGUUGACUACUUCAUAAAUAAUCAAAAUGAUUGAUUGAUCUGUGAAAUUGCUGCUUUGUUUCCUGCUAACCAACAAUCUGACUGAUUGACAAAAAGCUUCUGUGACACAACAUUAAAUAAAAUCAUCAUCAUGAUCAUAAAUAUUUACAGUAACUUGAUCAAUGAAACUACUCAAUAAUAAUCAAUAAUACUAAUCAAUACAGUGGAGAGUCUCUGCAGCUUUCAGAGGAGGCACAUUUUGUCACGUCUUCAUGACCUGGUUUUCAAAAUUCACCUAAACUUGCAGACAGGUGGAUAUGUCACAUCCACUAAAGUAAGAUGACAUAACUUCCGGUUACAUUUUCAAAGUAAAAUCCCGACUGCCUCACAAUGCAACCAUACAGAUUAAAAAACACGUAUUAUUCCCGUUGAAAGGGGAAAAUAAUGUAUCUCGACGCGACCCCUCUGCUAUAAUAAAGCUAAUCUUGUGACCUACGCAAAGAAAACUUAUUCGUAUGAACUUUAGUUCUUGUUCAGUAGACUCUUGGAUUCGCGUAUAGGAUGAAAGGGCGGGCUUCGCUGGCACAAGAAUCGAGCACUUUAGUUUGAAGGCUACAGCGGGCACCUUCCGGCGUAGCUCCCGCUACUUCUCGUUAGCUUGCUGCUGUUGACAAAUUGCUAACUAACGUCGCCAAAAUGGCACGCAAGUUACCUG